rnacentral:rRNA from 1 species
AUACGUAGGUGGCGAGCGUUGUCCGGAAUUAUUGGGCGUAAAGAGCAUGUAGGCGGCUUAAUAAGUCGAGCGUGAAAAUGCGGGGCUCAACCCCGUAUGGCGCUGGAAACUGUUAGGCUUGAGUGCAGGAGAGGAAAGGGGAAUUCCCAGUGUAGCGGUGAAAUGCGUAGAUAUUGGGAGGAACACCAGUGGCGAAGGCGCCUUUCUGGACUGGUUCGGACGCUGAGAUGCGAAAGCCAGGGUAGCGAACGGGAUUAGAUACCCCGGUAGUCCUGGCCGUAAACGAUGGGUACUAGGUGUAGGAGGUAUCGACCCCUUCGGUGCCGGAGUUAACGCAAUAAGUACCCCGCCUGGGGAGUACGGCCGCAAGGUUGAAACUCAAAUGAAUUGACGGGG